AUCAGUAUUUUAAAAUAUUCCUUGAGUGAUCCCAGAGUGUAGUUGAGGUUGAGAAACACUGUUCUAGAAUUAAAGGAUCAAUGUGUUUGAGAGUAUGUUAAGAUCUUAGGCAAAUCACAAGAGUGUUAAGAACUACCACCUUCACAAAAGGAGAAUGUGCCUCAGAUAUUCUGGCUCUGCUUUGAUUUUAACAUUCAGUAUUCUUAGUUAUUUUGAGUUUACUUAGUAGUACUAAUAUGAAGCUUGUUAGUACUAUGUUAAAAUUAGUCUAUAAGUUAAGUGGGUCUAAAUGUUUUAAUCUUUAAUCUCUGACCUAACUAGAACUUUUCCAAACACUUUGAUAAUACUCUCCAUCUUGCCGCCUGACCUUCACUUAUGUUCUUACAGCAUUCUUCAUGUGUUACUAUUACUUGUAAGACAUUCUUCAUGUGUUGCUAGUAAUAGUAAUGGCAAGUAUUUAUUGAACACUUACUAUGUGAAGAUUCUAACUGGCUUUUAAUAAUCAUAUCAGCUCUUGGAGGUAGGAGGUAGGGAUCUUCCUUGCUUUAUCAGGUGAGAAAACUGUAUUAUAGAGAGGUUGGCAACUUUCCCAGGUCAUAAUAUGUGACAGCUAAAGGGGGCAUAGUUGUUGGAAUGAAAUAAAUCUACUAUAGUUGUACCAAAAGGCUUAUAUUUGUCUUACAUACUUGAUUUGGUGGAGGCCUAAGGGGUCAAUUUCAAAUUCUUGGAUUCCUAGAUAUGUAUAGUUGUAUUAAAAAUGCUAAAACCUAUUUAUCAUGCGAUCAUACACAUCACCUAAAGUAUUAUGGAAAUGAAUCUGUAUUAUUAAGGGAAAAAGGCCUGUGUGAAGAACAAUGGAAACUUUAAUUGAAAUUAAAUAACAUACAUUCUUCACACUAAAAGUGCACGUUAUUACCCCAUAAAUUACUUCAGGUGGCUUUGAUUCAUGUUACAUACACUAACAAAUGUAGAAGGGUGAUAUAAUGCUUCUCAAUUAAGUACUAAUGAAAGUUUACUAUUUAACUGCUUCUUAUCUAAGAAUUUAAAUGCUUUCUAAAAUAUUAGAACUUUUCAUUAGGAAGCACUUUUAAAAAUAGCAAAACUGACAUGCACCAUGAUUUUCGUAUAGAUUAAAUUGAACUUGUAAAUGGUGUUAUGAAUUAUACUAUAGAAACCAAGAGUAUAUUCAAAUUAGAUAUGUUUCUAAAUAAAUUAUGUAUGAUUGAACAAAUACCCAUUGAGAAAUAAAUGUAUUCCUUUUCUUUCAAUUAUCUAGGAUUCCUUGUUUAUCUCUUCAGGAGCAAAAUGUCUUCUAUCUUAUUUCCAGUUAAACAUUCUCCUGAUUAUGUAAAUAUGGUAACUUCCAAUCCUCUUAUUUCGGUUUAUCUCACUACACUUCUAAUUUAGACAUGAUCAAUAUCUUUUUUGCAUUUCAUAGGCAUCAGGAUCCAGAAUAAUUGAGUGAGCUCAAGAAAACAAUAGCAAGAAUGAUGUUUUCAGAAAACUCAGCAAUCAUUCCCUUAAUAAAUAUUAAUUGCCUACCGACUGUAUAAGCAAGGUGCUGGCUAGGUCAUGUGGAGUAUACAAAUGUGUAUUAAAUAUGGCUCAUUCUCCCUAAGAACUUACACGUGUUACACAAAAUACAUGCAUAAGAAUUAUAAUAUCAAAUAGAAAAUAAAUACAGGCCCUAGAAUGUACAGCUGUAGUACAAUUUACAUUUAUUAUACAAAGACUAAUUUCCUGCUAGCUAAAUCAAGGAAGGCUUCACGGAGAAAAAAAUAUUUCAACACACACAUGAAUUAGCAGUAGAAUCAGGCUGAUGUUAGGGAAGAAUGAAUGACAUUCUACAUUGAGAAAGAGAUAUUCAGCGUAUAUACAAAGAGCAGUAGAAACACUCACAAGUGGAAAUGGACUCAAUUUACAAUAGUUGCCUGCCUGGAGUAGUUUAGAUGUUGACUGCAAGUGGCAGUUUAGUCAGAACAAUCCCAGUUUCUACUUGUUUAUCUUAUGUAAUUAUUUAUUGUGCCUCCUUUUGCUCUCAAAAAUAUCCUUGUUUAGACAGCAGAUUAUCACUCUUUUCCUAAAUGAACUGCCCUGUGUCCUGUCCCAGUAAAAGGUUGCAUUCAGGCCCUUUGUAACUGUGUCCACUCCAUGGUUGAUUGAAACCAGAGCUUGGCAUCAAAAAAUUAGCUGACCAAUCAGAUUUCUAUUUUUGGAAAAACCCAAGAAUUUCACAAGAUACAGAAGCUUUAUAGCUUCAGUAAAUGACAGCGUUGUAGCCUUGAAAGCUAUGUACAAGCCAGAAUUACAAAGGAGCAUAAAUUAAAUGAACAGUAGCAGUGAGGUAGUUGCAAAGCCAAAUGAAGCAGACACCUAGGGAGUAACUGAGGCACAUGAAUGGAAGAGAACUGCAGUGAAAUUGCUUGAACUCUUACUGAUGAGAUUUGUGCUGAUGCCUUGAAUCCAGGACCACCACCUAUAUGGUCAUUCUUUGUGAUACUCAGAGGUAUGCCAAAUGCUGUUAUUGAAUUCCUCAGAGAUUUCUUAUUGUUUCACCUCAAACCUUACAAUAAUCCCUUCUAUCUUUCUAUCCGUCCAAGCUAGCUUUCUAUGAUUCACGUUCCUAAUAAACAGAGAAGGGAAAGAGGCUGAAGACAAAAGGUCCAAUUAACAGAUACUGCACUAUUUCUGGAAAAAGGCAAUGGCAGCCACAUUGUUGUCCCAGGAAUGAGAACAGAAAUGAAAGAAGUUAAUGGAAGUGGAAAGGAUGGAAGGCUUGACAACUGAUUAGAUUUGAGGAGUCAGAUAAAAUAGGAAGCCAAAGAUAAUUUAGAAUAUUUUGAUUUUGAUUUUCAUCACCAAAUAAGAUAGCAGUACCAUCAAGAAAAAAUGUUUUUUUAAAAUAAUAAUAAUAAAAAGAAGCCCUCCAAAUAGUACCAAGAGAGGGAAUUUAAUAGAGGAAAUUGAUUACAUAGAUGAUGGGAGACCUGAGAAGCCAAAUAAGAUGUGAUAAAAACAAUCAAGGGAUUAGCAACCGCAGGAAGCCAUUCUCACUUAUGGCUGGUGCUUUAAGCCCAAGGUGACACUAUGAGAUUUCAGAAUUGGAAGUCAUCUCAUGGGAGCUAGGAUCUGGUGGGGGCUGUCUGGCAGGAGCUCUAACCACAGAAGGAGGAUGUGUCCAGCAGGAAGCUGAAACACCAGAGAAGGUCCAGCCAUGAGUCAGAAAAUACCUUCCAUGGCAGAGAGGAGAAAUACCCUGUAUUCUAUUUCCCCUGCCAUUUAGUUUCCUGCUAGUGGUACACAUUAACCUUAUUCCAUCCAGAAAAGUGCAUUGGCAAAUGAGUCUGGGAAAUGUAGUUUGCAGGAGGACGUGAACCAGAUCUUAAGGGACACAGAUAAUGACUGGUGCAACAACUGACCUGUGUGAGGCAAGAGGGAAAAACAGUAAUAAUAUAGUUUUUCUCUAGAUCCCUUCAUACACAAAGAUACAAAAGAAAUGUGUUAGCUCAAUGAGCCAUUCUGGGUGGCCCUGUAGGUGGCUGUUCUAUGAAUAAGAUUUUUAGACAAAACAGAGAUGACUUAAAAUGUCACAAGAAAAGUAUCAGGAAUUAAUAUUGACUUGAUCUGUCACAGGUUUCAAUGAUUUGUAUUAAGCCAAUGAUCUUCAUUGUAAAUGUCUGGGUAAUUGCCAGCAGCAUUAUAACUAAUUGUGUAGAUUAGUCUAAAGGAUUCCCCCACUAAUAUUCAAGAAAUUAUGUCAAGCAAAGAGGGCCUGGGUAAGAGUGACUGUGUCUAUUCAUUACAUUUUUUGGACUAAUAACACACUUAGCCUUCCUGUGUUGCCAACACGUACAAAACCAGAUUGGGGUUUUGAGUUGUUCAUGGAACUGUCAUUUAUUGGGUAGCUUCUGUAGAAGCAAGAUAUAGAACUAUAAUUAGGAAUAAGACAGUCCCUGUACUUCAAAGCUCUUAGGGGAGGCACACAAGUAAAUAUGCAAUUAUUAUCAUACAUUAGGAUAACACCAUCAUGGUGAUAACCACUGAGUGAUAGCCAGAGACAUAGAAGAGGUACCCAAGUCUAACUUGGGAUAGUCAGAGAUUGCUUUCAAGGAUAGCUGAGUAAGAGUUAGCUAAGAGAUGAUACAUAUUUCUGGGAGAGAAAUUUUCCAGGCGACGUGGUGAUUGUGCAGUGACGCAGAGAGCCUGAUUAUUUUGGUGACUGCUAGUAUUUCAGAACUACUUCAGCAAAAGUUGUAGAGAAGAUAGAAGACAGCAAAGUAUAAGCAGAGGAUAGAUAAUGAGGACCUGGAACAGUGGUUUGCUGGUAAAUGUUUAACAAGAGGCUCUUGGGGGAGAGAGAGAUUCUGAUUUGUAGCAUUUGGCAAAUUUUGUUGCACAAAUGCUUCAGCAUAGCCAAUUUUAAGCUACAAGUGUGAUGUCAUUGAAUGCAGAAUUGGAAAGAAAUGGGAAGUAGCACAGCAUUGUAUAGUUAUUUUCAUUAUACAGAUAUAAUAGAUAAAAUAUCCAGAUAGUAUUUAACAGCUAUAGAUGCAAAAUUUAAAUAUAUAUACUUUCAUGUGCUUCAUGUUACUGAAUGCCCACAACAUUCAUUAUUCAUUCACUCACAUGUUAAUUUUACAAACAUUUUUGAGCCUCCACUCUAUGUCAAACACAGUUCUAGUUGUUGGUAUUACAACAUCAAACAAAAAUAUUUGUCCUCACUGAGGUAAUACAAACAUUAGUAUGCCCGUUUUACAGCUGAGAAAUUGAGACAUAUGAGGAUUAAGCAAUAUAGUUAAAAUCACACAACUGGUACAUGCAAGAAUCAAAGAGGAAAUCAGCCCUCAGAUUUUAAAUCCAAGGACUCAUUUCCAAUAUAUCAUACUACCUACCUAGUUGAGCUGGAUUUUUUCAUGGUUCCCUAUUUUUAUUCAUGUGGUUGGAUAAGUAAAAUAUGUUUAUGUGACCUUUCAAAUAAAUUUGGGUCAUUCUUCUUGGAAGCUUAUCUGGUAUGAACUUUAAAAUGCUGCAAUUAAUAAUGAUUAUAAUACCCUGGAACUCUAUAGCAACUUCUUUUGAAGAACUCCAAAGACCCUCUAAAUGUAUUAAACUAAGUUCUUCAAGUGAAUUAGUUAUCAUCUGAGAGUAAGAUAGACUUUUUAAAAUGCAUUAAUUGUAUUAACCCUUUCAGGCCUAUAGACUUAAGUGUUUCUCCAAACAAAAAUAUUAAUUUCUGUUCAUUUUCUCUAGAGAAUAAUGAACUAAUUUUUAUUGAGCAUGUAGUCAACAGAAUUAAUUCAAUUGUGAGGAAUUUUAACAAUCAUUUAUAUCUAUUAAUUUGAAGAUAUACAUAGAUUCCAAUAAUUUAAAAAUGCAUAUUGCCUCUUUGCCCUAUGUCUCAUAAAACAAAAUUAUGAUAAAGUUAUGUGUUACAAAAAAAAGGCACUGAUUGUAAUGGAGGGUACUUCAAAGGCCAUGAACUUGGAAAACAACUUGUUUGCCAGAGACACCCAGCAAUGGCAGCCAGAAGAUUGACUAACUCUCUUUAUAUUCAGUUAACUAACUCUCUGUAUAUUCAAUUAUCCUUCAGACACUUUUGACCUCUUCCUGUGCCUUUCUAGUCAUGUGCAAUCUUAUGGAUAUCUUUUCCUUCCUCUUGUUAUUUUCUACUUCCUCUGUUUCUAUUUGUUUCUAGAUUUAUUCAUGUUUGUAUAUUGGAUUAGCUUGCUUCCCAUCUCCCCAUUACCGAUCUCUCAUCAUACCACUAUGUUAUUAAUCUCCCCAUGAAAUAUAUCAGGUUUAUUACAUUAGUUACCAGCUCAAAACAUAUCAGUGGCUUUCUAGUCCUCACAGGCUCAAGUUAAUCUGUAUAUUCUGACUUUCAUAUUCUGGGUUCAUGCAAACUUUUCAACUUUCCCACUUUUACCUGCUUAGGAGAAUCCUCAGGUUCCAUUACGCUCAUGUUUCAUGCCAGAAGUUCUGCUGCCUCUUCCUUCACAUAGACUCCACAUAAGCUAAUACCCUGCUUCUCUUUUAAUCCUCCAUCUUCAGCUCACAGCCUCACUCCUAUGUGAACACUUAAAUGAUUCUCCCACCUCUUAUCUCCUGUAGCACUUAUUCUCAUGCAACAUGUUUGAGCCUUCAUUAAAUCUACAGUUUAAAAAAAUGUUUUUAUACUACAGUCUCUUAUUCAUACUAAAACUUUCAAGUCUAUCCAUUUUUUUUAUACAACCACACUGUAAGGUCUUUUAGGUCCAAGAGUACAAAAGAGAGGCAAAGCACAUUGUUUAAAUCCACACAUACUGUGUAAACUCAGGCAACUUUUUAACCCUAUGAGCCCCAAUCACCUACCUCAUCAGUAAAAUAGGUAAUAUUCAUACUGGAGAACAGUUGCUGGAAUUAAAUAAAGGUAUGUAUUAAAAAGGCUCAACCAGAUUUGGCACAAAGUCAGUACUCAGUACAUGCUAGUCAUUGUUCCUUUUCUCUUCAAGGCUCCAUAAUUCUGUAUUCAUAUUACCCUCUUUAUAUCUUUUGCAAAGAUACAUUCUAUUCCAAUUCUUUCCACCUGGCCUCAACAUUUAUGAACACCCCUGGUGGGAAGGGAUAGCUUUUGAGGAGAGCACAUCUAUGCUCAUUUACUUCUCAGGGAUGUAAGCUACCCUGCUUACUGAAGGCAUAUCUUCAUAGUCACACCCAAGUCCAUUGUACUCUUAUGCUCUCAAAUGGGCAGUAGCAAAUCACCCUGAUUAGUAAUAGUGGCCUGUUUCUAAAUUUUCACAUGCAUAAGAGAAAUUUUUUUAGCAAGUGUUAUCUUACAUAUUUGUGAAAAUAUUAUCAUUAUAUGGGGCAAUAGCUGAAAGAAAAAUUUUUCAAUAGUCUUAAUUUUCCAGCUAACAUAAAUUCUCUCCAUUUUAAUCAUCCGUAUAGAUUAAAGACUUCACUGUUAGCUGAAUAUUGAGAGACUUUAUUCUAAUUUUUAAAAUUUAUGAGGUUCAUAAUGUUUAAACUUCAAGGGUGAGCUGUUUGUAUCAUCUAUAAUAAAUGACUAAACAGUAAGUAGAAAAUGAAUUGUUGACUUUAAAAGAUUUCCUCCCACUUCACCCCUCAAACCUGUGUUGCUAUGUAUUUGGCCUGAAAUCUUAACUUCUAGUCAAUCUUUGGAUCUAAAGCCUACCAGUUUUUUAUAUCCUUUAAAAUUGACAUGUCUCUUGGAGACCAAUGGAUGCUAAAACAAAUUGUGUAUACACUCGGCAAUAUAGGAUAGUAACAACCAGACUCCCUGCAAUUGUUUUUUUUUUUUUUUUUUUUUUUUUAGCACAGGUUUAACAAAUUACCACAAACUGGGUGGCUUAAUAGAAAUUUAUUAUCUCACAAUUCUUGAGUCUAAGUGUCCAAAAUCAAGGUUAAUUGUCCCUGUGAAGGCUCUAGGGAAGAAUUCUUCCUUGCCUCUUCCAGCUUCUGGUAGCCCCAGGAGUCCCUUGACUCAAGCAGCACAACGUCAAUAUCUGCUCCUGACCUCACAUAAACCUCUUCUUUGUGUGUCUUUCUGUGUCCUCUCUUUUCUCAUAAGGAUACCAGUCAUUGGAUUUAGAGCCCACCCUAAAUUGAUGGUGAUGUCAUUUUGGAAUUCUUAACUAAUUACAUCUUUAAAGACCCUAUUUCCAAAUCUGGUGACAUUCAGGGUUUCAGAUCAAUGUGAAUAUUCAGGGGGAACUAUUCAUGUCACCACAUUUGCCUUGAAAAUUCUGGAAAAUGUAGUAAUAACGGCUUCUGAUAAACUAGUGUAGGAAGUAUUCAUGGUUAUAGAUUACUAAAAAGUUUGACCGUGAGCUCUUAAUAAACCAAAGGUUCUACAAAAGGUGUAUUUGCUUAAUUAAAACUACAAAUCCGACAUUUUGGUUUGGGACUCAUUAUUAUUUAUUUGAUGUAAAAUAGAUUCCAUAACUGAAGCACCAUACCUCUCAAUUUCCCAACAUUUAUUUUAUUAUUUUUUGUCUUCACACUACUUAAUAAAUGAGGGAAAAUCAUUUAGGCCAAAGUUCACCUUGGUGACACCAUCCAGACAGGUCUAGGAAAUAACCAUGGAAAUUAAAUCUCUAAGAAAAAAAUUAUUUUAUACAAAAUAUUGCAAAUUUUAUUCUAGAUAUAUAUUUGUUGGAAGAAUGAAUACUAUUUCAUAGAUAUGAUAGAGUGGUAUCCAGAAUCAUUAAACAAAGAUCUUUCAGGGUCAGUCUUAUUAUAUCUGGAGAAUUUACCCAGGACUUAUGUGCUUUUACUGAAAAUCUAACCACCUGCACCCCACCGACUGUCUAAAGCUAGGGUUUUUUGGAAGACUUAGGAAAUCUGUCUUCAGAAGGUUUCUGAGACCGUUACACCCACCACUUCAUUAAAGUGCUUCACUUCACUUCAUUAGACAAGGAGUAAAAUGUUUGUCAAAAUUAUUUAGAGUACCAUGUAUAUGGGUAUCUUAUUUAAUACCAUUUAAUGUUGGUAUUACAAGUUAUAUAAAAUGGAGAAAUAAGUCAUAAAAUUCGACAAUAAUGGUAUUUGAUAUUAUCAUUAUCUUUUUUUAUUCAUUCCCACAGAAAUAGCUUGCUAUUGGUUUAGAAAAAUUAUAUUUGAAAUAAUAAAAAAGGAAAAGGCACUUAUAUUCUUUACUCUUUUAUCUUUAUACCCCAGCCCUUUCAUUGAUCUCUUUCAUCUCUGUAGUUAUCCUCUGGUGUCCCCAAUCAAUGAAAAAUUCCCAGUGGUUAGGGAACAUCUCAUUGAAUAAGUUACAUAAACAUUUAUUCACAUUUCAGGACAACAGGAGCAGUGCCAAAUCCUAGCCCACUGUUAAACUCUUAAGCCUUCUUAUCCUAAUAACACAUCCAUCCCAAGAAAGAAUUUACCAAGACCAGAAGGGAAUACAUACAAUUUUUUAUAGUACAGUAUUUAAAAUGAAACAGCUUUUGGCCCGUGUGGUCUCAGUGGGCGCAAGGGAAAAUUCAGGAUGCUAGCUCAUCUCACACCAAGUUUAAUAAAGGGUGUCCUAUAAAAAGCUAAUUUCUUGCUGGUAAAUUGCUUUUUAAGUAAUCCUUGCUGUUGCAAGAGACCCAUUCAUAGUGCUGACACUGGGAGCCAUGUUUGAAAGGCUAGAUACGCUCUGUGAGAUAAGGUAAGGUCCAGGUGGAAUCUUCUCUUUACAGGAUGACAAUGUAUGUAACUAAUAUUGUCCUUUGAGACUAGUUUGCAUGCAGUUGCUGGUAUGGCACUGUUCAGCAGCCUGCUGCAGAUAAAAAUGAGUGAUGAUGCCCUAGAUUUUAAUGGAACUUUUAGAGUGCAUGUAGCAGUGGGGUGCAGUCUUCAGCAAAGAAAAACGAGCUGACUUGCAGGCAUGAGAGGUCAUCAAGAAAGAUAAAGAAAUAGGACAUCCACUCUAGGCUAGGCAAGGCUUUUUAGAGGAUAUUAUGGAAAUGAGCAAGAACCAAUUUAAUUUUUAUAAUGCCACUCCAUUUAACUUUAAAAUACAAGGUCAAGGUACUGUGUUUUUCAUAAUGAUUAAAGAUUUGGAACACUCUUUCUGUUGAACCAUGCUGCAUUUGUUUGGCAGAAAAGAAAUAUGACAAAGAAUAAAAUCGGGAUCAGAAAACAACAAAAACAUAUUCUGUCAAUUGCCUAACACAAGUUAAAAAGCAAAGGAAAAAGAGAAAACUGAUGUACAUAUUCAUCCUUAUCCCAGUAGAAGGAUUUCUUUACUUAAGGUCCUAUUAUUUACAGUUAGUUUGAUCCCAGGAUGGUAACAUAAAAUGUACCUUUUAAAAUAAAAUGGAUGUAUAAGAUUAAUAAAAACCACAUAUCUUUGGAUAAAACAGCAGAUUCCAUCUUCUGACUGAAAGUUUUCUUUAACCCAUCAUUUGGUAAACUAUUUACUCUGUAAUUUAUUAAAAGAGGUACUAUUAUUAUAAAACUAUCUCAGUUUGCAUCUUGUUGGUUUUGUCAAAAUUUCAUUCUGCUAAUUCUCAACUUCUAAUAUCUCUGAUAUACCUGGUGCAUCUCUAGGUAGUGUUUUGGAUGUAAAGAAGGGGUAAUUGUGGUACAGUGUAAAGGAUUUUGAACUUGAAGCUGGAGCCUAUGUCUCUGCCAAAAAACUAAGUGUGUGACCUUAAAUAAGUUACUUAUCUUCCUGAAUCUUAGUUUGUUUAGCUUUUUCUAUAAAGUAGCACACCUGUCUACAUCUCAGUUUUGUUGUAAAAAUUAAACAAAAUAUUAGUCUAGAAAGAAAUUUAUAAACUGAAAUAUACUAUGCAAGUUUAAAUCAUUGUCAUAUUCUUACCCUAAAAUUUUGACCUUACUUUUCUUAGCAAAUGGCUGAAUCUAUAAAAUUUAACCCCCACGCAGCAUCUGGAUUCAAGAGAACUACGAUCAUAUCUUUAUACAGAAUACCAAUUAGACAUACAUAGCAAAACACAAGUUUUUCCAACUACUCUCUGUGUUUUUAAAGAUUUAGUGUGGGCAGAAGGAAUUUUAUCAACUAUCUUAGGGGAAAAGAAGUCUGAAGAAAUGAAGAUAAUGAGAAAAAGUACUGUUGAUUUAAGUGUAGGAAUAUAAAACUUCAAAUUCAAGGCAAAUGUGAGGCCAACUGAUUUCAUAAAUAUCCUCAGAAAAUGGUUUAGUUAAUU